rnacentral:rRNA from 1 species
CUACGGGUGGCACCAGUGAGGAAUAUUGCACAAUGGGGGGAACCCUGAUGCAGCAACGCCGCGUGGAGGAUGACGCAUUUCGGUGUGUAAACUCCUUUUAUAUGUCAAGAAAAUGACGGUAGCAUAUGAAUAAGCACCGGCUAACUCCGUGCCAGCAACCGCGGUAAUACGGAGGGUGCAAGCGUUACUCGGAAUCACUGGGCGUAAAGGACGCGUAGGCGGGUUGGAAAGUCAGGCGUGAAAUCCUACAGCUUAACUGUAGAACUGCACUUGAAACUUCUAAUCUAGAGUAUGGGAGGGGGAGAUGGAAUUAGUGGUGUAGGGGUAAAAUCCGUAGAUAUCACUAGGAAUACCUAAAGCGAAGGCGAUCUCCUGGAACAUUACUGACGCUAAGGCGUGAAAGCGUGGGGAGCAAACAGGAUUAGAUACCCCAGUAGUC